GCCCGGUUAGCUCAAUCGGUAGAGCGUGAGACUCUUAAUCUCAAGGUUGCGGGUAAGUUCAACAUCCACAACGACAUCUUCUGAUCCAAACUGACAAGUCCGCCUAGGUUCGACCCCCGCAUCGGGCU